GGAAAAGAAAGCCAAAUCAAACGUGUUUCUACAUGUAGGGGAACUGUUGAGUCAUGGCCUGAACCACUAAUUGAGCACCUGGGGAAAGGACCCGGUCAGCACUGAGAGCACCCGUGAAGGCAAUUCAGCUGUCUGACAGGAAGGGAUGGAGUCUGGCUGCACCUCUCUUUGACCUCAUUUAAGGGCUGACUGCCACUGGGGAAGGAUCUCUUUCUGGAGAUCUGUCUUUGGUGAAGCUUUCCCCUGUGAACCUGGAGUCUUCUGGUACAGCCCUAAGUGAGAUGACUGACUUAAGAGGAUCACUGGCUAAAAAACCAUCAGAAAUCAAACUUCAGCAGGCAUGAAGAGUACAGUCAGUAUGAAGCAAGCAGUGGCCUCAAGGGAGCAGCAUGAAGGCAAGGCAAGCACACGGUGAUACUUUUCAGAGUCCUCUCCCAGAUUUCAGUGAUCUGCAGCAGAGUGGAGGUCUUGCAGCGUGCUUAGCUUGCUCAAAUCUAAGUGCUCUCGUCAUGGUGCUGUUUGAAAGAACUAAGCUUCCAUCACUUGAAAAAUGGUGUGAACGUGGGGGUCGGGCUGGAUGGAGAACAACAUAUAAGAAAACUCAGAGCAGUGCUGCAAUUCAGUUUAAACCUUGAUUGAAAAAGGCCAUUCAUUUGUAGUCUGCUGAGUUUAAGAAGCAGAAAAAUACAAGAAUUGCACACCGGGGAGACAGAAAAUACCUUCUCAGCCCAGCCCACCUUCUCUGCUGAAUGUGCAAAGGGACUUCAGGAGUGAUGGCAUGGAGGAUGCUCACAGCAAAUAGCUCUUGGGGAAGAGCCAGUGCACCUUGGUUUGUCCAGCAUGUGUGGAAC
ensembl:lncRNA